AUCCCCUGCAUCAAAAUUGAAGACAUCGUACCACCAUCUUCACACAUCAUAUCGGAUUUAUAAAGCCAUCACAGCUGAUGACUUCGUUGACAGCUGUAAUUUUUCCGUCAGGGACAUAUAACCAUUACAUCCUAAAGGAUAUUCUAGGUGAUGGAACACUGGGACAAAUGUGAGAACAGAGAGAUUUUAGCGGUGCAAGUCCCCGGCAUAUAAUACGAUUAAAGCAUUUCCUGCCCUGAAUACCCAGUCACCGGAAAAACGACAUCAAACAACCGAACGUCACAUCAGAUGGCUUUGUCGACGGCAGUUUUUUUUUCCGGCGACCCGUCAUCACAACCGAACGCUGCUCACACCCUCAGGUUCGAGUCCAAACUGGUUUUAGGAACGAGAGUUGGAACUGAUACACAAAUUGGCGAUUUGGGUCGGGUUGGAAUUGGUGUGGGUCAUGAUGAAAUUACAACAUCAACUAGAGAGAGUUGGAGAAAGAAGACAUUCUACCAAGGUUUCUGCGUAUCAACAACACACAUCCAAAGUCACAGAUGUUGAAGAAUAUACAAAUAUAUAGUACGAGUGAAGAAAGCCGAGAAAAGAAAAAAUAUCUUAAUGCAGAUUUUAACUCAACUCUCAAGACUCGUAUCAUGCAGAAUCUUCAUGAAGAUAUUAAAAGGAUGGAAUAUUUAGGUGGAAGGUAACAAAUGAUGCUUAAUCUUUACGUUGAUGGUGAUAUGGAGUUGAUCCAUGAUUUACCAGACUCGUAUUUGGAGCAACUAGACACACAGAGGUGAGCUAGAAAAUGGUUUAAAACUGAAAAGGGCAUAACUUUCAUCACAUGUGGAGUUAUACGUCUCAACGAGCCACGCGCUUGGACAAAUGCUUGUCGCCACACGCUUGGACAAAUGCAAUAGACAAAGCACGACUCACGGGACCCAAUUUCGCCAUCUAGAGCUCCGAUUUUGAACUCAAGGCUGUUAACUUGGAGGGAGCCUUAUUAUUGACAAAAGAGGUUCAUAAUGAAGAAGACUUGCCACUGAAGGAACCCCUAGAGCUUGCGUCUGGUCGCUCAUGGGCUAAGUUACCUCUGAUGGUAACUUAUAACUGAUGAAGACUCGGUGGAACUUGCCUCUGAUGGCAAGUUAGCCCUAAUGAGGAUUAUGGAACUUACCGAUGAUGUCAAGUACUCAAGUUACCAGCUGAUGAAGAUUAAAGGAACCUGCCAUUAAGUCAACUUAUCUCUGGUGAAGAUUUAUAAAGAAAAGAUGCCACAUAUCAGCUUAUCAUUGGACGAAGACAAUCUGUUGAGAAGAUGUUAUACAUAAUCGUCACUUGAUAAAGAUUUCUCGUUAAGGAACAAGAGAUGCCACAUGUCAGUCUAUCAUCGGAUUAAGACGGUCGGUUAAGAAGAUGUUAUAUGUAAUUAUCAGUUAUGUAAAUCUCAACAAGAUUAAGAAUACACGAGUCCGCAUUGAAUUUUAUGCCACUUGACCCCAUAGCUUCUUGGGUCAAGCAGUUAAGUGUGAA